CAAAAAGCUCGAAUGCGGCGUUAUGGUUCGCCUUGGGGGCGGCCAUCUUUGCAGAGAGCGAACAAAGGGAUAGAGUGGAAGUCCAUAUACCACCGGACGAUAAAUAACAUCUUUUUACCAUCAGAGGCCAUGUCCGACUCCGAAAACCAACCGGAGAAAGAGGCCGAGGUUGAAAAGAAGGUCAUAGCAAACAAAAUAACGGGGACGGUGAAGUGGUUUAACGUUAAAAGCGGAUAUGGCUUCAUAAACAGAGAUGACACAAAGGAAGAUGUCUUUGUCCAUCAGACUGCCAUCAUCAAGAACAAUCCUAAGAAGUACUUGAGAAGUGUUGGGGAUGGAGAAGCCGUAGAAUUUGAUGUAGUUGAGGGGGAAAAGGGAAAUGAAGCAGCCAAUGUCACCGGACCUGAAGGGGCCCAUGUCCAAGGCAGAGGCGUGGGGGUGGACCAGGCCGUCCAAGAAGCGAGGGAGAAGAAAUCGAUGAAGAAGAGGAAACAGAUGAAGGAAAGAGACCCCCUCCUCGUCGCCCAUACUACAGGGGAGGCGGAGGAAGAGGCUUCUACAGGGGCUUCUACCAGGGUGGGCCUCGAAGACCUCCUCGCUACCAGAAUGCCAUCAUGGACGGACCAGGACGUCAACCUCAGUUCCGUAGGCCAUACUGGAGGAGAGGCUACCGAAGAUAUUAUGCCCAGGGUGAAGGCUAUGAAGGUCCCCCACAAUAUGGAUACCGUGGGGGGCGUGGGCGAGGCCGAGGGAGGGGCAGAGGUCGCGGACGUGGCAGAGGAUACUUCAGAAGGAGGGAGGAUGGAGAGAGAGGCAGAGAAAAUGAGAGUGGUGAAUCUCCUGAACCAACACAGGAAGGCAAUGAGGACAGAAAUGAGCAACAGGAAUAGUCGUAACGCGUGUCAACACCUGAGCUUUAGAUUGUACCAGCACAUGCUAUUGAAAAAGUUGUGGUCCUACUACCAGUUGAAGUGAAGAUUUUUCCUGACAAAUGACGGACAAUAGACAAACACUUGAAAAAAAAAAAAUGAAAAAGAGAAAAAAAAGAAAACCUCGGUAAAAGUAAAUUGUUUGUAUGAAAGCUUACAAUUUUUUAUACAAGAUCUAUGCAAAACCUUACUUGUUACAAUUUUUUGUGAGACAAAGGUUUUAGUGCUACUAUUAAAGUCUGAACAAAUUUUUUUCACAUUUUGUACUUUAUAUUGAGAUGUUUAGGCGGUGAAAGCUCUCUUUCUCUCCAAGAGUGGACUGAGGGUGUUUCCCUUUUUAAUAAAUUAAAUGAAUUAUUUAAACAUCUUGAUUACAACUUUUUUGCUAUGUAAUUUUUAAUUGUACGGUACCUUUUUUGUAUAUUUGAACUAGCAUGAAAUGAAACAAAUGACAUGUGACAUCAAUAUUUGCAUAAAUAAAACAGCAAGUGCAUUCAACAAGUGUUUAUAUGGGUUGUUUGUUGUGCCAAUGUCACCACUUUAUUGCUGUCUACAUGAUUUAAAGUAUUCAGCUACAACAGGGCAUGCUCAGUUUCAGUUUUCUGUUUUGGUUACCAUUUGCUUGCAAUGUAGUUUCAAAUUGUUCAGGGAAAGGGAAAUAUUGCACAUUUGUGCAAGUUGCACAUUAAGGGGGCUGGGGGGUGGCUGCCAUUUUGGACAAUAUUGAUCUCCUUUAGAUAUAAAGAUAAUGGAAAACGAUCAAAUUUUGUAUUAAAAUAUAUGAAAUUUUUCUUUACCAGAUAGUAGUUGAUAGCUUCAGAAAUCGCAUAUAAAAUUUUCAAAUAAUCUGAUGGUUUUAUAUUAUAUUUUGACCCCCC
rnacentral:misc_RNA from 1 species